rnacentral:rRNA from 1 species
GAAGUGAUAACCGCUGAAGGCAUCUAAGCGGGAAGCAUGUCUCAAGAUGAGGUCUCCCACAGGGUAACCUGGUAAGGCCCCCAGUAGAUGACUGGGUUGAUAGGCCGGAGGUAGAAGGCAGUAAUGCUCGGAGCCGACCGGUACUAAUAGGCCGAGGGCUUGUCUUACAA